rnacentral:rRNA from 1 species
UACGUAGGGUGCGAGCGUUGUCCGGAAUUAUUGGGCGUAAAGAGCUCGUAGGCGGUGUGUCACGUCGGCCGUGAAAACCUGCAGCUUAACUGUGGGCGUGCGGUCGAUACGGGCAUCACUGGAGUUCGGCAGGGGAGACUGGAAUUCCUGGUGUAGCGGUGAAAUGCGCAGAUAUCAGGAGGAACACCGGUGGCGAAGGCGGGUCUCUGGGGCCGAUACUGACGCUGAGGAGCGAAAGCGUGGGGGAGCGAACAGG